rnacentral:lncRNA from 1 species
UAACAUUAUGGAGGAGACAAGAUGUUAGACAAAAGGAACUGAAAGAAAAGGAUCAAGAUUCAUUACAACAUACAGAUGUUGUGUCUUAUAUUAUGCUUAAAGAAGCUGAAUAUAAACUAAGAGAUGCUGUUAGUAUUGAAGAGAAGGAAACGAUUAAAUUAAAACAAGAACUAUCAGUGAUGAAAGUACUGGAGG